ACCGGCAGCUCUAGUGGUAGCUGUUUUUAUUGGGCCUAAAGCGUCCGUAGCCGGUUUAUUAAGUCUCUGGUGAAAUCCUGCAGCUUAACUGUGGGAAUUGCUGGAGAUACUAUUAGACUUGAGAUCGGGAGAGGUUAGAGGUACUCCCAGGGUAGAGGUGAAAUUCUGUAAUCCUGGGAGGACCGCCUGUGGCGAAGGCGUCUGACUGGAACGAUUCUGACGGUGAGGGACGAAAGCUAGGGGCGCGAACCG
rnacentral:rRNA from 1 species